ACGAACGCUGGCGGCGUGCUUAACCCAUGCCAGUCGAACGGUGAAGCGCCUUCCUUUUUGGUGGGUGUGGAUGAGUGGCGAACGGGUGAGUAACACGUGAGUAACCUGCCCCCUUCUUCUGGAUAACCGCAUGAAAGUGUGGCUAAUACGGGAUAUUCUGGGUCUGUCGCAUGAUGGGUCUGGGAAAGAUAUUGUUUCGGUGGGGGAUGGGCUCGCGGCCUAUCAGCUUGUUGGUGGGGUGAUGGCCUACCAAGGCGGUGACGGGUAGCCGGCCUGAGAGGGUGGACGGUCACACUGGGACUGAGACACGGCCCAGACUCCUACGGGAGGCAGCAGUGGGGAAUAUUGCACAAUGGGCGCAAGCCUGAUGCAGCGACGCCGCGUGAGGGAUGGAGGCCUUCGGGUUGUGAACCUCUUUCGCCAGUGAAGCAGGCCUGCCUCGUUUGUGGGUGGGUUGACGGUAGCUGGAGAAGAAGCGCCGGCUAACUACGUG
rnacentral:rRNA from 1 species